UUUGAAUCUAGAAGAAGAAAAAAAAGAAAAAGAAUAGCAGUCUAACAAGGAUUGCCUUUUUUCCUUUCCUGCUCCUUGGUGCACACUUUGUGCAGUUAUCAGCCAGAACGUGGGGAGUGCGAGAAGGAACAGGAAGCAGGAGGGUGAGGUGGCAAAUCAUUUACAUUGGAAAUAGAAGCUGAAUGUGCAUUUCCCUACUCUGUUGCCAUCAAUCACUCAAAUUUCUUGUACACUGUGGAAUAGAGGAGUAGAGUUUGCUUGCUUCCCACUUCCCCCGGGAAUGGAAACAGAUUCAUUUGUUUCAUUGCGUAGAAAUGCUGAUCACUCAAAACAUUUGUUCCUCCAAGGACGUGCACAGUUCUGAAGCUGAACUUUUUGGCUUCCUGCUGUCUGGUCUUCAGAAAUGUGUUUGCAUGUCCUGCAGACCUGGGGAGUUCACUCUGCCUGUGUCCUAGCUCAGUAAGGAGUGGAGAGGUGCUGCUGGAGUGCUGGAAAGGCCAUGGCCAGCUCAGCAGAUGCUUUAAUGCACUACAACUGUGCAGAGCAUUGGCAAAUGCCCUCUGUUCUCCAUCAAGCCAGCUGCUUUUAUCUUGUUCUUGUGAUCUUGCACCUGAUCCAAUGGGGUGAGAUUUUCAGAGGCCCAAGCCCUGCUUGUCAUUGAAAACCAUUUUGUGACUAUUUUAUGGAGCUAACAAAUCUGUUGAGGGGAAAAUUAUAGUGGGGAAUUAUUGGGAAUAGAUAGAACACCCUGUGUUUGCUGUUAUUUACAAUUUAGCUCUGUUGAAAGGGUUGGGGACAGUAGUAGAGACAGCAUGGGACUGGGAAAGGAAUGGAAGGAGAGAAAAGAAAAACAGAAAUAGGAGUAGGAAGGAGAAGUAGAACAAACAGGGAAGUAAAUGAAGUCUGUUUCUUUCCUUAGCAAAUAACGUAAAUAAAAUAAAUAAGCAUGGAAGAAUUCAGAAAGCGCUGCUUCCUGAAAAGGCACAACAGAAAAUGGCCAGCUGGGUAUUCACCCUGUAAUAAUGUAUGGUCUGGCAUACUUCUGUAGCUUUUAAACAGUGUCUGGUUUCUGAUUAAAAAUAUUUUGUAUGUAACAAUCUCUAUAAGGCGAAGUCUUGUCCUGCGGAGGGGGACUGGACUGAAAGGCUAUAGCGGGGUGUUCAGGCAAUAGACAGUUCUGGGCUAAAGGGUUGCUGAAGGGGCCGGGCACUGUAAAGCUUUUGCCCAGCCUUCACAGCCCUAGGCAUCCUGGGAAGCUUGGCAGUGGCAUGGUGCCUCUGGAACUUGAGGGAUGUGGUCAGGGCUGGGAUGUGGUUAGUAUUCCGUUCGGCUGCUGCAAUAAAGAGGCUGGUGAGGCGUUGUGUCCUUGGAGCACAGCUGCAGCCAGGAAAUUUCUCCUGGCUGUAGGGGACUGAAACCUCGUGCCCCGGGGGUGUGAGCUCAGCAGCUUUUAACGGCUUAGCCGCUGUGGGUCUGGGCAGAACUCGCAGGGGAGACCUGUCGGGAAAACCCAAGGGCUGGAAGGAAAUGCUGCUGCUGACUCAAUAGGCAGAGCUCUUCCCUUUGUUGAUGUUGGAGCUGGGCCACGCAGACACGUCCCUCCGUAAUUACCUACUGGUUGCUCAUAGUUCAUGCUUUGUAACCACCAGCGUUCUCGUCGGCAUCUGGAGAUGCGAAGCUGAAAUCCACGCUGUGGGAUCCGUUAUCGCACUGAUGCUUGCAGCCUCCGAGAAGGAAGGAUGUGUCUGCUUCUGGAACGAGAUUCCCAGCCAUCUGCUGCCUCACCAGCUGCUCACAAUGCGGUGCAAAACUUAUCUCAAUUCAGGAACUCAGCCUCUCAGCGAGGGCGGCGGAGAUGGGGUUGAAGGACCAUAACUGACCUCAUGCGCCCUGUCCACAGAACAUGGGCUCAGAGCAGGUGUCAAACUCCGGAGAGGUCUGCUGAAAAGUGUCCGUUUGAAAAUCCUCUUCAUCGCUCCAGCAAAUAUUUGGUGAUGGGAGAAAGGGAGAGUCCCCAGAGUUUGUCCUCAGUUGCCUUCUCCACCACCCAUCUCCUACAGCUCUGCCUGGACUUGAAUCUCAGCACGUGUGUUUAAGAGCCACUCAAGCAAACGCAUCUGGAGCAGUGGCAGCAUCUCAUGGUGCCUGUCAGAGAGCUGAAGACCAUGGCUUAGACGGUGGCAUUUCUCCUCCUCAGAGCAGCAAGCCCUGACCCAUCAGUGGGAAGUUUCCCAGUACUGCUCUGCUGCCAGCUUUGAAAGUGAGUGGUAUUAUUUGAAUCCUCUGCUUGCUCUCUGAUUUUUGUGAUGAACAGAUUUCCCUCCCUGGUUUCACUUGCAGUCUCUCUCCUCAGCACGUUGCACGUAAAGGCGAAGCCCUGUGUCCCCAGCCUGUUGCAAAAAGGCCCUUUUGUCCUGUCUCCUCUCCCGUGGGUGAAAACAGGCAGCUCUGCCUGAUUGAUCUGCUGCCUUCCAGCCUGGAUCAUUCCUCUGCAGGUCUGUCUCUCACCUGCCUGGGCGCUGCUAAAUCUUCCCUAGAAGGAAUAGCUAUUUGUCAAGUAAAAUAGGAAGACUCAAGUCUCACGUUCCCCAAGGCCAUUUAGCAGGGCUCUGGCUGCUCACGGACACUUGCUUUUCUGUCACUGGAGUAGUACGAGGGAGAAUUAAGCUCAUGAAGCUUUCCUGGAAAGCAAGCUGCCUUCAUCAUGCCUCAGAGCCCUUGCGGGGGACAUUGAACGCUCUCUGUCUCCCCCAGCCUGGGAAGGGGUAACACGCCCCAGGUUUAACCACCGUGGAGCAAUGCCUGUGGUCCCCGCACCGUCGCCUCGUUGCUUUGUGUUUCUCUGCACCAAGCCACUUAUUGACGAGGAGCGUAAUUGUGCUGCAUCACGUCUAAUUGGUUUGCUCCGUCGCUCUCCCUUUGCUUUCCCUGCCUGCCUGCCGCCCCCCGCCCCUGCUGCAAUGCGCCGAGCGGUGAGCGUGAUCAGGGCACCAGGCCGCCGUCCCGAUUCUUGGAGGAAAAAAAGGCACCCAACUUCCUCCUUUCUUCUCCUAAAUCCAAAUGACAAGAAACAGAGGAAAACAAUUUUGCAAACCCUUGGCAGAGGGCCAGCUCUGAUAAAGAGCCGUAAUUAAUCUCCCCAGCUUUAUUAGAAUAUCAUUACAAUUAACUCAGCAAUCUUCUGUUGAUCAAAGCCAUUGUUCCCCACAGAGCAGAGGAAGCCAGUGCGUGCAUGUGAGCCUGGACUGAGCAGGCUUUAAAGCAUCUAGAGCUGGAUCAUUCAUGCAAACCAAGCAGCAGCCCCUCCAUGGCUCCUGUGUGGCAGGCCAGGAGAGCUGUGCUGCCCAAAGGAUGUGCCCAGCAGACCUGUGUCCUCGUCCUGGCUGCAGAGCCUCUGGGAGCUUUGGUUCUCUCAGCUCCUCUUUUCUUGCUGGAUUGCAUGGCCCAGAGCUCUUGGAGGCACCUACGUACAUCUCAUUCCUUAUGUAGAUGCCUUUGGGUCCAGACUCUUAAGCAACGGGUUUAUUCCUUUGUAUGUGCUCAUACAGCUCUUUGCAUGCCUGCUUCUUAGUCUCAGCUGGAGAGAUGGUGACUGCUGCAAUAAUACAGCUAACAACAGCAUAGCGGGUAAAGAAACCAGGGGAAACAUUUGUGGAAACCACAUUUUAGAGAAAGGAGAGUUGUCAAAAUGAAGCUACGUAAGUUCUACAGCUAAAUAGCCCAAGAUGUGUGCUAUUAAAAAGCAGAGAAAAUGAGCACAGUCAAACUACCCCUUCCCUCCUUUUCAAACUGUUCUCUUAAUAUCAGGUAUUUAUCUGUAAUUUAAGCCCAUGAUUAGUUUUAUCAAAAAGAUGGUAUGGAGAUAGAGAUCUUAAAAUGAUUAGGUGUGUUGUGUUUGAAAGACAAGAGCAGCUACAGUUGCACAGCAAGAUAAAGACAUAUCUGUUUGCUUCUUUGAGCCUCCAUCUGUGAGGGCCUCGUGCCAAAAGGAGCCUCCAGGUUUUACACAGAUGUAAACCUACCCCAGUCUUUCGGGGGAGAUCUUGCUCUCCUUUGAAGCUGCCAGCACUGGAUCCUGUUAGAAACAUGUCACUAGGCAAGAUCGUUUGCCUGAACUGAUUUCAUGAGGCCCUUCUUCUUCUCACGUGCGCUUGGGGAGGUAUAACCCCAGGCACCAGUACCAGCUGGGGGCUGGCCAGCUGGAAAGCAGCUCUGCAGAGGACCUGGGGGUCCUGGUGGACACCAAGCUGAAAAUGAGCCAGCAAUGUGCUCUCAUGGCAAAGAGUGAUGGUGUCCUGGGCUGCAUCAGGAAGAGCGUUGUCGGCAGGUCGAGGGAGGUGACCAUUCCUUUCUGCUCAGCCCUGGUGAGGCCACAUGUGGAGUGCUGUAUCCAGUGCUGGACUCCCCACUACAAGAGAGACAUGGACCUACUGGAGCGAGUCCAGUGAAGGGCUUCUAAGAUGACUGAGGGACUGGAGCCUCUCUCAUACGAGGAGGCACUGAGAGAGCUGAGACCAGUUAGCCUGGAGAAGAGAAGGCUCGGGGGAGUCCUAGCAACGUGUAUAAAUAUCUGAAGGGAGGGUAUAAAGAAGAUGGAGCCAGACUCUUAUCAGUGGUGCUCAGUGACAGGACAAGAGACAAUGGACGCAAACUGAAACACAGGAAGCUUCAUCUGAAUCACUGUGAGGGUGGUUGAACAGGUUGCCCAGAGAGGUUGUCAUGUCUCCAUCCUUGGAGAUAUUCAGAAGCCAUCUGGACAGGGUGCUGGGCAACCUCUUCUAGGUGACCAUGCUUGAACAGGGGUUGGACCAGAUGAUCUGUAGAGGUGCCUUUCAACCUCAGCAAGUCUGUGAUUCCUCCUCAUCAUUUCAUUUUGCUCUUUGGAAAAUACUCUCAACUUUGGAUAUCACUGGGUCCUGACAACACAGGCUUACUGACACCUCAGGAUGCAGGGACUUGGAGGUAUCUUGGUCAUGGAGACACUUUGCUGCUUCGCUUCAAGAGCACCCCCCCAAAGGGGCUUGAUAUGGAAGAGGUUAAAGAGGCUGCAUCCUGUUUCCCAUCUAUUCCUGCCUCUUUCUGCAUGGUAAAAAGUUUUCUGCCAGGCUGGAGCAAUACGCAGGUACUCUUCUGCCCUCUGGUAUUUGAUGUAAAACCAAGGAGGGACUUAGAGCAAAUAACCUGCACCUGCCUUUGUUUGCAGCCUUGAAUUUCAGGAUUCUAUGUAAGAGCAGGAUGACGCUCAGAUUUUAUCCCUAGAAUGGCUGUGUGCCGCAAAGGACUUGUAUUCCACCAGCAGACAGAGUAAAUGUGAAAAUGUGCCAUUCAAUUCCAUAAAGAAAGAGAGGUGCAGGACUUUAAAAGCCUUGGAUCUCUCCUCCCAAGUGGUGGCUUCAGAGCAGGCUGCAAUGGGCAGGCAAGCUGUAAUGGGAAAGGCAGUGCUAAGCAAGGGAGAGCACACCUGGGAGGCCGCGCUGCAGGGAGCUCCAUCCCAUCCCCAUGCACAGCUCAGCUGCUGAUGCUGCAAGCUCGGCUUGGCCAGCUGACACUGACUUUUUUUUUCUUUUGGAAAGUGGUGAGAACAUUGGAAUAGUCAUUUCUUGAAAGCAAAAUGCAUCAAGACACAGUUGCCUGAGGAAGUCACUGCAGGUAGAAACCAGAAGUGAUGGUUGGACCUGGUUCAGUUCUCUUUUGGACUGUUGCAUAAUCAAACAUAAAUCCCUGCAAGUGAGGGGAGCUGCCACUGCUCAUGCUGGUGGACAUGAGGCCUGGCUCAGCACGUGUGUUGCCAUCUGCAAGGCCGUGUAAGUCUACGUGAGAAGUGUUUGUUAAAUGGAGGCAUUUGAAGCCCUCACUCUACCUUUUGUCCUCAAUUCUCAUCUGUUUGAAUUGUCAUCACUCAUGAGCCCUGGAAAAAAGAAAAGAGAAAGAAAGGGAAGGUCCAAUUUUGGGUCUAAUCAACCUUGGUAAUGUCCCUUUAAACAGCCACCUAGGAAAAACGAGCAGCUGCUUCAAUCCAUUAGCUCGGUGCAGAUACACCGGUACCGCACAGCUAGGCUGCCGUGCUGGCCACGCUUCCUGUACCUGGUCUCUGCAAAUCGUUAACCCCCGAGAGGCAGAAGAGGAAGGCAGGGCUGCGUCUACAGCGUGGGUUUCCUGUGCUCGGCGAAGGGCGUACUAGAGACGUCUCCCAGCUACGCUGAAGAUGUGCACUGCUGAGGAGCGUGCGGUGCCUGAGCUCCCCGUGCAGAGCGCUGGCAGCAGCAGGUGUCAGCGUGGCCAAGGCAGGCAGCAGGCUGGGAGGUAGGUGGCAAAAAAUGCAGAGCGCAGGUUGCCCCAGGCGGAGCCUCCUCCACCCACCAGAGCCACAGGUGCAGACCUGCGGUGGCAGGAAGCUGCCUCUGGCGUUUGCGAUGGAUGGGGCCCCCCGCGGCCAGCCACGUGCCUCGAGCAUGUCCUGGCAGGGGGAGGACCUCUUUGCCAUGAGAGCAGCUUCACACCCAUCUCUCCUACCUCCCCCACACUUGAGCAUCCUCGUUGCCUUUGGGUGCUGAUUUUGGUGCUGGUGUGGGGCGGGAGAGCUGUGUGUGCCUCCCGUUGAAAUUGUUAUCCUGUGCAGCAAAGGAUACGUGAUUGACUGGUCCUGAGCCAGGAGGAAGAGUGAGCCUGGAGCUCUAAUCUAGUGGCUGGGGCUGAUAAGGCAGGAUCCCUGGGGUUAUCGCCCCAGGACUGGUUAUGUAUUUUAUGCGAUGGUUUCUAACGUAAUGUGUGGGAACAGCUUUCUGUGACGGGUCUGAUCUCCUCUGCUUGUGUUAGACGUGCUUGGGGAGUGUGUCCCAAACGGAGACCUUCAUGGAGCACAGGUGGAACAGUGCAGGGAUAAAAGUGAUCAAACGCAAUUCACUGGCAGCUGGUGUAAACCAAGCACAGUGAAUAAUUUGAGGGUGGCACGCACCGCUACAACGGCUGCUGCAGGCCAAGGGUAUGAGUAGAUUAAAAAAUGCAAUCAAACGACUUCAUGGAAGAAAGGUUCGUUAAGGACUAAUAAGAAAAUGGUGCAGAGAUAUUCCAUGGCUCAGGAGCUCUCCACCCUUGGCUUGCCUGAGGCUGGGAGGGAUUAUGCAGAAGGAGCAUUAUUGUGCACUCACCCCGUGCUCCUCUCUGCCCUAGCACCUGCUGUGGCCGUGACUGGGGACAGGCUCCUGGGGGACGUGACGCCGGCUCUCUACAGCCGUUCUCAGGGUGCAGACCUUCCCCACUCCCCAAGCCCUCUUACAGUGGAAGGAUGAAGUUUCUCAUCCUCCCCAGGCCUGCAUCCCGGGGUAUGGCAUGGGAACCUCCUGUGGGUUGUGGACACCUGGACCUUCACCUCUCCGGACCACUGAGGAGGAACGGUAACUGGAUUAGGAUUGGAUCCACUUUCCCCAGCGCCUGCUGUAGCACAGAUUGGCUGUGGCACAGCCUCCAGUGCAGAAGCAGAUACGUCCCCCUGACAGCCUGCAUCAGGGACCUUAGCUGCUGAAAUGGUUUGCUCAGGUUUGAAGGUAGACCGCCAGUCAGGACACGUUUCCCUGCUGCCUUUCCCUGCACCUUCUAUGGCUGUGGAUCCGGGCAGAUGAUCUGAGCCACUAGAAAGCCCUAAGAAGGGAAAGACAAACCAACCUGUAAUGCCAUAGAACCUCUGAUGGCAGGGAGCUGUGGUUUCAUAUAUGGUGCUGUAGUGUCCAUGAGGUCCUUUGCUGGUCUUUCCCUAAGACAAGAACUUGUCCUUUCCUAUGGCGAGGGGAAGCCUCCAGACUUUGGGCCUGUCAGCCUGGCACCUUCCUGGUGCAUUCAGACUCUUCCCCGUGCCCUCCUGUAGCAAAUGUUUGCUGAGUGCAGUGAGGAAGACAAAAGCUGUGUCCGUCCACGGGCUCCAGGGAGGCUCCGUGUCCUCAGAAGCAGGUCACAGGCAGCUGUGAAGGAAGGGAGAGUGUUGGCAGCAAAGGGAUGAAUUAUUCCGGUUUCCUGGAAGGGGAGAGCAGGUCCCACCUCAGCAGCAGCAUGGGGGAAAGUGCUGAAGGGGUGGGCUGAGGACAGUAGGCCCCGAGGGGAUGCUAGGUCUGGGCUUUGAACCCGUGGAGGAGCUGCUGCUGAGUCCGGUGCUGUGUGCCGUUCUCACAUGUGAGCCCUGGCCAGGGUCAGAGGAAGCAGGAGUUGGGCCGGAGGGUCUCUUCUGAAGGCCCUCGCCACCCUGUGUCCUGGUCUCAAGUACUGCUUGACCACGAGCAGUUGGGGAUGUUAGUCAUGCUUCUGGCUCUGCUGUCUCCGAUCUCUGAGUGAGAUGCAGGGACUGAGUGUCAGGUUGUUAUUAAAUAUCAUUAACAAGUGACAAAACUGCGUGGAGCACUUCAGAUGCAGACAAUGGCUGGAGGAGGCAUCGCUUGCAGCACCGGGGAGAGAUGAGCAAGUGAUGAAGGUCAGAGACAUGUUGUUGAGUGCUUCCUCUUUCUCCCUUUCUCCUGGCCUUCUCACCUCGAGGAGGUAGGAGGGGAUGGAUGUUCCUUCUGGGGAGGAUGCAGGUUUCUGAGCAACCCCUGGGUGGCUCAGGGAGUCUUUAACACAGCAGAGCAGGGGGUCCCCACAUUGACGUUGUGUGCAAAGGGGACCUGUGCAGCCCCCCGACCUCCCCCCUCUGGUGUCAGUCUACUUUUGAGGGGCUCCUGUGUGGGGCAGGACAGAAUGCCCAUCCUAUCGUGGUGGAAAGGCUCUCUGAGCAACCUCUCUACCCUGUGGAAGCCUCUGGAAAAGAAACCUUGUAAUCAAAAUACUUCUCUUGCUAAAUAGUUUUCAUGCUUGGUGCUAGCUUUCCCCUGCUACUCCACACGAGAAAGCUGGAGCUGAAGGAGGGCUGAGAAGGCAGCGUUCAAACCAUCAGCCCCAGCACGUCUGGGAAAGCCGCCCGCUUGCUUAGGUGCCCUGGAUAGAAGCAGAGCUCUGUGGAAAAUGUGGCUUCAGUGAUGGAGACAUGAGCCAUAGGAAACAGCAGUCGUAUAAGGGGAAGGUGGAGCUUAGUAGUGACACCAGGGCCCUGCAGAGCGGCUGAUCCCUGAGCCUGGUCCCCGGCGCUUGCCUUCCCGUCCCGUCGGCACUGAUUCUUGUAGCGAGGGCCGCUGCAGCCAUGAAAAUUGCUGAGCUGAGAUGCUGGCCACUCUGCGAGGCUUUUCUUCUGCUCCAUCCAUCUGCUUUAAUCACAUGGUGGCUGGAAAAAAAAAAAAAAAAAAAAAAACCUAUCCAGUUCACAAAGCAUCGAAGAUUAAAAAAAUCGGCGUGGAUAAUAAACUGUGCAGCAGCAGCAGUGCUAACGACUUCUUUUUAACGGUGAAGGACUCCUGCCUCCCUUUGAUUGCUGGGCCACGGCUGCAUGCAGCAAAUACCUUGUUGGACUUGGUUAUUAUUAUUUUUUUUAAUCUGUGUGUUGAAUUAGCUCUUUUAAUUACGGCAUUAAAAAGGAUAACGGGAGUCAAUUAAAAAGCUCUCUCAGAUCACUGGUGUUAAUAGCUGUCCGGGAACAUGGAGAACCCCCCCCUUCCACCUUUCUGCCGUCUCAUGAGCGGCUGUUUGAAUUAUUGUCAGUCCUGGCAACGAAGCUUAAGCAGAGAUUUCUAUACCUAAUGCGCAAGGCGCUGGCAUUCCUCUCAGUCGGGCUCAGGCCGUUUCCCAGCCCGGCCUGGGUCCCCCCCUCACCCGCGGCAGAGCUGCUGCAAGCGGGGCACCGGGUGCCAGGCUCGCGGGCGUCAGGGCCACUGGCCUUUCCCGGGAGCUGGGGCCUCGUUUUGUGCAUUAUUAUUAGUGGUUUAAUAUCAAGCCUUUAACCAACUGAAAAAGUUGGUUAAAGAUGGUGUGAGGAGAAAUCAGGAAAGAAGCAUUUUACUUUAGCUCUUUUAAAAAGAAAAACAAAAGCAAAAGGCUUUAAGAAAAUGCUUUGGUUUCAAAGGUAUACUAACAAGGCAGAUGGUUAGAAAUGAGAAGCUAACAAAUCAAAGCCCAUGAAACCCACUGUGGAGAAAGAAACGCAAAAUAUGUUGCUUCAAGAUGAAUGCAACGCUGAAACCAGCAAAAAAUACUGCCCUCCCAGCAAAUGCAGAUGUUUCAGCUUGAUUUUCUAGAUUGGCACGUUGCUGGAAGAAAAGGAAAUCCGUUCCUCCCUGUCUGCGCGCCAGGUUCCUGUCUCUUAUUUUUGUAGCGACUUUGAUCCCCGAGGACUCCUUAAGCGCACCGCAAACGAAGCACGCGAAUCUCCGCUCUGCCUUUACGCCAAUGCGUUCUGCAGCACGUGCCAUAGCCUCACUGUGCUGGUCACCGGGAAGGCCCACUGCUCCCAAGGACCAGUGGCAGCCAAGACACCACAGUGAUGGGCGCACUGGGGCUGGCGCUGGGGGCAGACAGGGAGAUGACAGCCUGCACCACCUCCCCGCUGCAGCCCCGUGCCUGUUCUCCUCUUGCUCGGCUCUGUGUGUGAGUAUUCAUGUCUAUAUUUAAUUUUAUUUUUCCAGGCAAGGUUUCUUGCAAGCCAAAUAGCCUCGGACGUGCCGGAGGGUGUGCGAGAGGCUGGCUGCCAGCGGUUGGGGGCGAAAGGCACAGCGGGAGGCAUUGCAAGCAGGCAGGGUGGGUGCUGAGGGUACCUGGAUGCUGCGAGGGGGUUGCCCAGGGCUCCGCGAGGCACCGAGUGCUGCCGCCACCAGUGCAGGGGGACCAUCACGCUAACGGCCCCGCAGCAUCCGUCAGCCCUGGGCUGGGGGAUCGGCUUUCUCGCUGCGGGCACCACCAUCCGCAGAGCCCAGCACGAGAGGGGGCUGAUCCCGUGAGCGAGGAGACGCGGUGCUGCUGCUCACGAUGGGUACCGCGACAUCCUCGCCUCCCGCACGGGCAGCCCCGCUCCCGGGACGCCUGGGGCGAAGCCUGGCAUGGCGGCUCGCAGCCUGCGGGCACAUGCUGGUACCUGCCCCUGGGCUGCCCCGCGAUGGGGCUUCACAUCUUUCUCACCUUGCGGAGGUCAGGAGGCCGGCAAACACGGCUAAUUACUGCUUACGCGGGCACAUCGGAGCUGCUGCUCGGCCUCCCCAGGGCUUGCAGGGCUGAGCUGGCCAGAGAGAAAGGUGUUAAAGGGAAUUGGCUAUAAAAACACAACCAGUCAUCAGAAGAAGAAAGUCAAACUCCUUUCGGUGCUGUGCGGGGCCUCAGACCCCGUGGAAGGUGCCUUUUCUGAGCCCUUUGCGUCAGCGGGCGAACAUGCCUCCGAGGUGAGAGCAUCAGGAAGGGGAGAGCCCAAGCGCUAACCAGAGAUACAGAACCGGACAGAUCAAGAAGUCAAGAUUUUGCAUUCCAACUAUCUAUAGGAAAUAGGGUUUUUUUAUUAUUUCAAGUUUUCAUAAAAAUCCAUAAUUAUUGAAAUCAAAGUUACAGAAGAAAGUUCGUAACUUUUUAUUGAUUUUAUUUCUUUUCUCUUUCUUUUUCUUUUUUCCCCCCUGUUGUUUUUCCCUCUUAGAGUUAUAUCUGACACCAGAGUCCAUCAGACAAAGUCCUUACAAACAUGGGAGUCCUGAAGACGUCAGCUGAAUGUUUUCCUGGUAUAAAGAAGAAGAGGAGGAGAAAGAGGUGGUGACGGUGCGGGUGCAGUGGGUUUGGAAAAGGGCGAAGGGUGUGGUGGAAGGAGAGAGGUCGGUAUGUUUGUAGCAAUGUUUGUUUUUUUAAUAAUUUUUUAUUUGUUCGUUUGUUCUUUUUUUAAAAAAAAUUAUUAUUUGCAAAUUGUUGCCUGGUUAAAUCAUUUUCAUGUUGAACUUACGCGGCGCAUCGGCAGAGCUGAUGCCCGCGUCGGACUUGCGUGGCACGUACUCAAUUUCAAUGUUGUGCUUGGUGUUGCCUUUCCCCCGGCUCCACAGGAAGAGGAGCACCAGACAGAAGAGCACGACGCCCAGGAAGGAAAUGAAGCCCAUGGUGGUGGCGAUGAUGAGAGUCUUGAUGUCAAAGGGGAAAGGCACGGUGGCACGCGUGCUGUUGGCAUCGCUCUCGUUGGGCUGGUUGGAGAUGAACGCGAACGUCUUGUUGGGCUGGUGGGGCCAGUCUGGGGAGUAGCUGCGCACGUGCAGGUGGGCCAGCAUGGUGUCGUUGCCACCUGCGUUGCUGGCGAUGCAUAGGUAGGUGCCGUUGUCCUGGAUCUGGGCGUAGCGCACCUCUAGCGUGCCGUCAGGGAAGACAGUGAGCCGCCCAUUGGUUUUGGUAGAGAUGAGGUGCUUCCGGGGAGAGAGCCACAUGAUGGUGGGAGGGGGGUCCCCAUCUGCCCGACAGACAAAGUGGACCGUGUGGCCUUCAUCCACAAAGAUCUGCUGAGGUUUGCGGUCCCGUAUCCGUGCUCGGCGGCAGGUGAAGUAGUUGGGCAGGAGGACGUCAGGGAAAUCUUUGAACUCCUUGCCCUGGACAAACUCAGGGGUGGAGCAGGUGGGCUGCUGCUUGUUGAAGUUCAACCUCCAUCGCCGCCGGAAAACCCAGAGCAGCCGACAGUCGCAGGCUAAGGGGUUGUUGUCGAGGAUGAGCGUCUCUAGGUUCCCCACCGAGUGGAAGGCUGACUCCUCCAGGGUGGUCAGCAAAUUGCCCGACACGUUCAGGAUACGCAGGUAAUUGAGGCCGCGGAAGGCAAAGGGCUCAACCAUGGUGAGCUGACCUCCCACUAGCUGAAUCUCCUGCAGCCUGAGCAGGUCAUGGAGCAUGGAGCCCUCGAUGGUGACGAUGGGGUUGUAGGACAGAUUCAGGAACCGGAGGUAAACCAAGUGCCUCACUGACACGUACGGGAUGGACGUCAGGUUGCAGUGGGUGAUGGACAAGGAGGUCAGGUUCAGGCCAUAGAGGCAGUUGGAUGUCAUGGUAUCCAGGUAGGGCCAGUGUGAGAUCUCAAGGACCUUGAGCCUGUAUAACCUCUUGAAUGAGUAAUCCCGGAUGGCGUUGAUGUUCAGGUGGCGCAGCCGCAGCACGAUCAAGCCGUGCAGGUGAGACAGGGCCUCCGUGGGGAUGGAGGUCAGGUUGCAUUUCUCAAGGGUCAGCUGCUCCAGGCUGUUGAGGCCACUGAAGGCCCGGUGGGAGAUGUAGACAAGGUCGUUGUCCCCGACCUCCAAAGACUUCAGGUUGUACAAGUCCUGGAACAUGUAAUCUAGGAGGAUCACAAUUUUGUUCUCACUAAUGUCUAGCUUGGUAAGGUUGCUGAGUCCGGUAAACACCCCCAAAGGGAUCAGCUUGAGUCUGUUACUCCUGAGCCCCAGUGUCCUGAGGUUGAAGAGGUUGUUGAAAGCCCCAGGUUCAAUGGCACUGAUAAUGUUCUCAUUUAGCUCCAGCUCCUCCAGGUGAGGGUAGUUGGCAAAUUCAUCCUGGUUGAGCGUCUUGAUGCGGUUCUUGCCCAAGUCCAGCAGCCUGGUCUCAGUCGGGAUCCCCUCCGGGACGACCAUGAAUCGCUUCCGGUGGCACAGCACGGAGCGCUCCUGGGCAGAGCACUCGCAGCGCGGCGGGCAGCCCGUGGCGGAGCCGGACAGGAUGGAUCCCAGCAUCAGGAGGAGAAUAGGCUGCCAGCAGGCCAGGAUUGGGCUGCGCAUACUCGCCUCCCCCGCUAUCAUCCUAUCUCUCACCUGCAGGUAACACGGUGCGGGAGGGGAGAGAAAACAAGAGUGGACGUGAGCGACUGACAGGCACAACCAUGGCACAAGGCAUCUGCCGCAAGCGUGCUGCUAGGUUUAUUGUACCAGCAGAGCUGACAUUAACAGUGGGCAAGAUCAGACCUCUCUAGGCACUUAACCCCGACAUUUCGGUACACACGGCAAACGCGCCCCACCAUGGGACACUGUGCUCAGGUUCGUGUGGGGUCUGCAUGCUGUGGGGAGGCCCGUGGAGCAGAGAGGACUGCCUGGCCUGGCACAGAGCAGCAGCUCACGCCUUGGCUCAGCCCUCCUAGCUGUUUGUGGAGCUUGGGAUCCCCCACCCUUUCCAGGCUCACCUGGGCACUGAGCAAAGGAAGGGACCUGGCUAACAGGGGACCAUCCCUGAGCCGCGGGACUGCUGUCCCCCGGCUUCCCCGCUGGUUUGGAGGACUUCAACCCUGCGAGCAGAAGGGGACUGAACGGUCCGUAUCGCCCUUUGCCGGCAGGCGGGAGCUGCUGCUCUGGGUUAGUGAAUGUGCCGCGCGCUGGGCCACGGGCACAGCAGGGCCCCGCCUCGGCCUCGUUUACCGCUCGCGCCCGGCUCCUGCUGACGCAGGCGGGUUCGGAGGUGCGGUGCGAGGCUGCGGUUAGCCGGUGCCACCCCGAUGAGCCCUGUUCCCGUGGCCUCCCGGCGCGCGGGCUGCCCUCGGUGCCCCUGCCUGCGCGAGGGGACGAAAGGCACGGUGCGGGGAGCCGGGUGAGGAGCUCCGCGUUUGCCAGCAGAAAUCCAGCCUUCCGGCUAAAGCACUGUCCCCCCCGCCCGCUCCCCAGCUUUGGACUGGGUGAUUGCACGUGCGCGGAUUUGGGCAAAGAGCCUUGCGGAAGCUGUGUCAGGCAGCCCGCGCGCCCUGGCUUCUUAGGAGAAAAAGAGGAAAGAGCUAAACACAUCUAUCUACAUCCUAUUUUAAGCUCUUGAAAUUAUUCAGUUCCCUGUAGAUGGAGCCUGAAUCUAAAGGCGGCUCUGCAAAUGUGGCGGAGCGGGAGCAGGAGCGGGGAGCGGGCACACCGGGGGCCCUGCGUGGGCUUGGCUGGUAGCAGGGGCCGCGGCUCCUCCUGCGUGCCCGUGCCAGUGCUUGACGGGCUCCUUCUGCCUUUUGUUGCCUGGUUGCACGGCGGGGAAGAGCAGGGGCAUCGCCGGAGUCUGAGAGAGGCCCCCCCCCCACCCCCCCGGCUUGGCCAUUCCCGCUCAACUCAAUGGCACGGGCGGCCGAGCCGCGGGGCCCGGGCGGCGGGCGGGAGCUCGAUGAAGUUGUUCACAGCGAGUUACGGCCUGGCGAAGGCCGCUUGUGCCUCCGGACCAUAAACAACCCCAUCCCAGCGGCCAGCGGACGCGAAAGCGCCUGUCACGGUGCUGCUGUUGCAUUUAUUUUCUGUGUUGUUUGAGCUGUUACGAGGGAUCAAAUCAUAUUAAUAUUGCAUAUUAGAUGUAUAGCUGCGCUGGACUGUGUUUAUAUCUAUUGUAAUGUGUGCACUCUGUAUUGCUUCCACUAGUGCUAUUUAUGGCUAUCGCUGAAUAUACCCAAUACAUUACUUUCACUGGUUC